rnacentral:rRNA from 1 species
GACGGAGGGGGCUAGCGUUGUUCGGAAUUACUGGGCGUAAAGGGCGCGUAGGCGGAUUAGUAAGUUGGAAGUGAAAGCCCAGGGCUUAACCUUGGAACUGCUUUCAAAACUGCUAGUCUAGAGUGAAGUAGGGGGUGAUGGAAUUCCUAGUGUAGAGGUGAAAUUCUUAGAUAUUAGGAGGAACACCGGUGGCGAAGGCGGUCACCUGGACUUCAACUGACGCUGAGGCGCGAAAGCGUGGGGAGCAAACAGG